rfam:Felis catus isolate Cinnamon breed Abyssinian chromosome A3, whole genome shotgun sequence.
CUAUUGGCCCUUUUUAGGGCCAAAUAGUAAAUAUUUGAAAGUUUGU